rnacentral:rRNA from 1 species
UACAGAGGUCUCAAGCGUUGUUCGGAAUCACUGGGCGUAAAGCGCGCGUAGGUGGCUUUGCAAGUCAGAGGUGAAAUCCCAGGGCUCAACCCUGGAAUUGCCUUUGAAACUGCUAAGCUUGAGUACUGGAGGGGAUGGUGGAAUUUCUAAUGUAGCGGUGAAAUGCGUAGAUAUUAGAAGGAACACCGGUGGCGAAGGCGACCAUCUGGACAGUAACUGACACUGAGGCGCGAAAGCGUGGGGAUCAAACAGG